AGCGAGCGAGCGAGCGAGCGGGAGCCGGAACCCCGCGCCCCCAGCUCCACUCCGAUUCUCUCCGCGCCAGAGCUGGGCGCGCCAGGUAGGGUGAGCCGGCAGUGCCGCUGCCGCUGCCGAUCGUUUUGGCCCUUAUCUUACGUCCCAGGGCCCCGCGGGCCCUCGAGUUGUGGGGCGCCCGCACUGGGGUGUCCAGACAACGUUCCUUGCGAGCUCCGGGAAGCGGCAAGACAGCCCCGGGCGUCCCGCCUUUCUUCUCCAGAAAACGCAAGCCCCGCAUCGCGCUCCCCCGUUCCUCCUGCUCCAACGUCCUCUGGUCCUUCUUUCUGUCUGUGCCUCCGUCUUUGUCUCAACCUCUCAGGCUUGCUCGCUCCCUGCCCAGAUUUUGUGGCCCAGGCCCCCGGCUGCCUGACUCCGGGCUUCUGUCCCCUUCCUGCCUCUGAGCUUCUAUCUGGGCCUCCCCUGUGGGAGGCUUGCGACUUGACUAGUUUUGGCCUCAGCCCCCAUCUAGGUCCCUGUCCCCAUCUGUGCUGGUCUUCCUCCCCGCUUCUCCCUCGUUUGCCUGGGUGAGCUGUUGCUUUCCUGAUCCCCAGAGGAGCCCAGUGCCCCUGCCCUGGGGAGGGGCAAAAUGAAGAGGCCCAGCCUCGGUGGCCAGCACAUAGGGUCCCUGAGUUAGUUGCUGCCCUUCUUCAAACUCAGUUUCCUUUCCUGUUCUGAGGAAAGAGGUAUGUCCCCCUCCCAGCCUUUCCAAGCCCGUGUGAUUGUGAGAGCCUUGUGGGGUGUGUGUUUGGGAAGGCACCUGGGAUACAAAUGAUAGGACCCAGUGGGGAAGAGACAGGGAGGGGGUCUCUCAGGGCCAUGGCUAGGGUGGGCAGGACCCUGAAGCUGAGGAUGGGGAGAUUGGAAAUGGUGACUUUCUCUGCUGGGUUGGGAGUGAAGAGAAAACAGAGGCACAAAGUCUCAAACAGCGUUCUACAUAGAGCUAGAGAGUCCCGCACUCUCACCCUCAGCACUGUUUGGAGACUCUGGCCCCCAACCCUGACACACACAUACACGAACAUCUGCUUGCCCUGUUGACUUAGGACCUUGAGCCACUUGGGUACCCUCCUUGAGGCCAGCCAUUCCACCUUGCUGUCUCAUUCCCAGGGCUUAGUGUCCCUAUUCCUUCCUCAGUCAGGAAACUGUGGGGAUGGCUUUUUAAGAACCAAAGGCUAGGACCCUUGGGUGUUCACAUGGGCUCCAGUCACCCCACGGGUUGGAGACUGUCCCUUAGAGACUGUCUUUUCCUCUUCCCUGGUGGGUCCUUAGCAGCUCCUUCUCUCUGGAAAUCCAAGGCUCAGGAUGGGGACCUCUGAGUUUGUAACUCUGACAUAGUCUGUUCCAAAGGUAUUGACCUCGGGAUCCUGGGAGGUUUGUGCUGUUCUUGGACACCCUUUGAUUUACAGAGGGGUCAGCAUUGGCUGGGGUCUCCUGUCCUCUGCCUGGGACUUCACUGCUUGCAUCCCUCCCCACUGCUGGGUUUGGUAGGUGAAUAGGGCCCAUCUCUCACCCAGCUGAGGCCAGGGCUGAGAGACAGGCCCAGGGGAGUCCCGGGAGCUUCUCAACCUACUUGAUGACACCAUCCUGUCCCUGGUUCUUGAGUACCUAGGAAAGGGGCUUGUGGGGAGGCAGAGUCAGAAGGGGCAACUACUCUCAGGCUCCACUUUUCCUGGUCUGUUUUUCUGUCUUUCUGUAUCUCUGCAGGAGCUGGGUCCCUUCGCAUCUCUCUUCUUGUCUGUCCUUUCCUGGUCCCUGUUUCCUCCUCUCUUUGCCUUCGCUGCUUCUAAUCUCAUCCCCUGGAGACCCAGGUCUGCUGGACCCAUCCAUCCCCUUUGGGGCCAUGGGAUCACUGCUUGGGCUCCUGGCACUGCUGCUGCUGUGGGGUGCUGUGGCUGAGGGCCCAGCCAAGAAAGUGCUGACCCUGGAGGGAGACUUGGUGCUGGGUGGGCUGUUCCCAGUGCACCAGAAGGGCGGCCCAGCAGAGGACUGUGGUCCUGUCAAUGAGCACCGUGGCAUCCAGCGCCUGGAGGCCAUGCUUUUUGCGCUGGACCGCAUCAACCGUGACCCGCACCUGCUGCCUGGCGUGCGUUUGGGUGCGCACAUCCUCGACAGCUGUUCCAAGGACACACAUGCGCUGGAGCAGGCACUGGACUUUGUGCGUGCCUCACUCAGCCGUGGUGCUGAUGGCUCACGCCACAUCUGCCCCGACGGCUCUUACGCCACCCAUGGUGAUGCUCCCACUGCCAUCACUGGUGUUAUUGGUGGUUCCUACAGUGAUGUCUCCAUCCAGGUACGUGGAGGCAACCCAAAUGGGGACUAGGGAGGGAGGCCAGAGGUGGUGACCCAGAAUUCCUGCUGAAAAGGGAAACUAGAAGCUUCCUUGCAGUAGCUUUUACAGAAGCUAAGAAAGUGCCCUGGUCACAUAA